CUCACACACACACACACACACACACACACACAAAACAUAAUCCUAUGAUAUGCAUUUCCUUUGAAAUAUGUAUCCUAAAGGGUGGAUAUUGGUUUCCAUAUUUCUAGAGCAUUAAUUAUGUGCAUUUUGUUCUUAAAAUAUGAAAGACCAAAUAUCUAAUAGAGAAGAUUAAUUGCACUGUAGAACCAGGUGAUCCUGAGAAUCGAGAACCUCAGGUUUGAAAUCGAGCUUCUCUACUCAUUUUGUGACGUUCCGUAAGUUACCCAAUGUCCAAGUAGAUAGAAACAAGUCACAAAGGUCAACAGAGCUGGUAGGAAAAUGAAAUAUAAGGUUUGAGGAUUUCAUGUAGUUAUAAGAUGUUGGAUACAUUUUGCUCUAUCCAUAAGCUGCAAAGCUUGUCUGAUUAAUUUACUAGACCUGUGAAAAUCAGAUAAACCAGGUAUCCUCUAGAUAGAAUGAGAUAGAGAAAUACUAAAAUAUUUCUUAAUGCUUUAAUUUAUCAUUGGCAAAGAGCUGCAAUGUCAAUCUUGAGAAAUACUUUCUUCUUCCCUGUCAGUCUACCAUUGAUUCCUGAUAAGGGGGUGAUGCUGAAUGGAAAGAAGCCUGAUUUUGGUGUCAGGUAGAUCUGAAUUUGUAAUCUUGUUAUGCUCCUUCCUAACCGUGCAAAUCUGGACAAGAAAUUGGAUCUGUCUACACCUCAAUUUCUUUUCCUGUUAAAGGCAGACUAAAACAGCUAUUGGACAGGGUUGCUAUAAAUAUUAGAAAUGAUAAGUAUACAAUGCCUAAGACACAUAGUGGAUGCUUAUUAAAUGUAACUGUUAUUUUAGGGAGAGAAAAUAGCAUUGAACAGAAGAAGAAAACGGGAGUAAGCCUUAGGUUAAAUCUAGACUUCAGCACUCAGUACUUUAGAGAAUUUAAGCUCGCUGAACCUCGAUGUACUCCUCUUAAAAAUGGAGACAAUUAUAACUAACUUACAGGCUUUUUUUUCAUUCAAUGCACAUGGCAUAGUGUGUAUCACGUAGGAAUCACUAAAUAAAUGAUCAUUAUCAUUGGCAUUAUUAAUAUUAUAUUAAGCUUCCCAAUGGGAGCCCAGGUGGAACAUGCUUACAAUGAUGUGCUGGUUAAAAAAUGAGCUGAUCCGAUUUUACUGGCCUUAUUUGACUUUAUUUCUCUGUUUUGGUCUCCUCAUUUAUCCUUUUCCUUACAGAUCAAAUAGAUAUUAAAUGAAGAGCUCAAAAUUAUUUUAAAAAACAAUGUUGAAUCCAAAUUGCAGAUAUCUAUUCAGUAAAUCAUGCUAAGUAGAUAAGAUUCUUAUUUCUUCUUAUUUACCUAAAAAAAACCCCAAAAGCUGGUUGUGUUUUGGCUUCAGAAAGCGAGAUCUUGUAGUUGAGACAGGAUAGAAAUAGCCUUUAAAAGCUAAAUGAAAUGAAUAGUCUUGCAAAGGGAAAAAAAGAGGAAUUUUUCAUGAGUCCCUGGAAACCAGCAAAAAAGCAUCAAAACUGUUGUUUUCAGUAAUAAUUGUGAUUACUUGGUUAAAAUACCCCGUACGAGAAGCUUUCGAUGUUUUUUGUGCCUCUACAAGGAAAAUUAAAACAGAACACACAGCAUUGGGGCCAAUUUGUUUCCAAGGAAGUCAAUUAUUAAUACUGUAUUUAGUAUUUAAUGAACUAAGCCGAUGUAUGUGAAACGCUGCAGAGAUCUCCUUACCAGCGGAGAACAGGUGUUGAUAGAAGCUUUGCCCGUAUGUUUACCAGCUGAUUAGUACCCAUUAAAAUGAUAAUAAUCUAAUAAAAAUUACUUUAUGUCUAGUGAAAGUUGAAAGUCCCCUGUGUAUUGGAGAAUGAUUUUUUUUCUAUUGCAUGGCAGUGAUAGGAUUGAAGUGACAAGAAUCCACCCCCAAAGCAGCGUGAAUGUUCUGAAUUUCUAUGCCUUAGACUUUUCACUUCAAGUGUCCCUUUCUCCAAAGGUUGACUCUGGCAGUCAGGACACUUCACUGUUUUUCAUGGCUUCAAGGGAAGGACAGUUACCAACCCACCAAAAUCCUCUGGCAAUAGGAAAAGGAAUCAGAUCCUUAGUAAACGACACUACCUUGUCCAUCUUAGGAGACCAGAGGAGAAACUAUGGGUGUCCUGAAGGACUGUUCUGGGCUUUGGUUGUCCCAGACAGCCCCGAGCAGUUGCUAAGGAAACUCUGAGCCAUCUGUGAGCUGGCAGUUUCCUGGGAAACCCUUGAUUUCAGGCUAGCCGUAGUCAAAAUUGUUAUGAAUGUGAGGUCACAUCAUCCCCAGCCUCACACUUCUGACCCCUUCUCUUCAUGACGUGCUCCACUCAUUCUGUCUCAGCUGAGCCUUGCACACUUUACUCUUGCUCUUCUACCAAAAGCUGAACUCAGGAAAUUUUCAGGAAUUUGGUUAUACGGUAGGGUAGAGACUGAAAACUAAGGGUUAUUUGCGUUGUAACAGCAUCAAAUUCCUCCAACUGAUUAAGGGUCUCCUGGAGGAAAUUGGGGCAUUUGGCCAAGUACAGGUGACACAUUCGCCUGCCUCAUUUACCUGUAGCUUCCAGGACCCGGAUUACUACACAAUGGAGUGUAUGUCGUUAUUCCUUUUGACUUCUUCCUAAAAGUAUUGAUGGAAACAUAGUAGAAAGAAUGAAUUUUGGAGGUAGAAAUGUAUUUUUUUACUGAUUUAUUUUAAUAGUGAUGGGGACCCUAUUGAAAUUUGCAGUAUAGAAAGAAGUCAUAGGAGAAAAACCAGAUGAUUUCUGGAAAUAAGGAUUUUGUAGAAACUGUGAAUAAGAAAUAAGCAUCUUAAUACUAAUGCCAAAGUCUGUCCUUUGUUUAUGUGUUCUAUAAUGUUGAGACUGUUCAGCAUUCUAAAUUGCUUUAUACUUCAGAUUAACGUGAGGCCAGAAUGAUUUAAGGACUAUUUUGGUCUUAAAAAUAGAAAUCUCCACAUUUAAAACAGAAACACAACCUUUAAUUGAUUGGCAAAAAUAGGGUUCUUUUCAAAGGAAGACUUGGGCAGGCCCCAGAUGAAGGCAACGAAGAGCAGCCUGGUUCUGGAAAGGGAAGUCAGCAGAAUUGUUCUGUUGAUCUAUCCUCUGCUUUUCUGGGCUGCUACAGGAAACAGACUUCAAGGAAAAGGUCAUAGGUCACCUGGGGCUCUGGGGCUUAAGGCAACCAUGCAAAAAUCUAGACGGCUCAGAAUCUUUCUUUCUCACAAAGGACACAUUAUGAAUUGGUUCCUGUAUGUGUGUACAUUUGUUUCGUACCCAGUCACCAUGCUGGCAGAAAAGUAUUGCUGUUAUUUCUAUGAAGGAAACUUUGAAACUUCAUAGUUUUUCUUUGCCAUGACUGGUGACUUUUAAAAUUCAGUGAAAACCUCUUGAUCUAGGCAUUGGACUUGAAAAUUAGAGACUUAAUUGGGAACCAAAAAGAUAUAAGUCCCAAGACUGUAAGUUGGCCACUUUUGGAAAAAUACACUUUAGAAAGUGUGAUGAAUGAUUUUUUUGUGCUCAUAUUCCUUCAUCUUUAGCCCAGAAGAUACUGAGCUGGUACCGAAUUAACAGUUCUUAGAAUGAACUUCCGCUUGAUCUCAGGAUAGCAGCCUAAGCAGAAGGAGGAGGAAAUCUGGGGCAAAUGAUUACAAUAGCAGGAACUGUAAGAUAAAAUUUGAUGCUAUCUUUUCAGCACUCAACCAAUUCAGGUCUGAACUUUUAUCUCUAAUUUGUGAUUUAUUUGGCAAAUUCAUGCAAAUAAGUCCCCAAGUUAUCUGUCUAUUCUUAUUUGUUGUCUGUCCAAUACAUCUGGAUGAAAAUAUAAUUACAGUGAAAUCACAACAGUGAGCAAGAAGCCUCAAAAUCUCAUUAAAGAUAGAAUAUGCUUCCUUAGGAAAAUUUGUACAAAGUAUUAGGAUUUAGUGUAUAUAGAUUGAGUUUAAGUUACCUAAGAUUGUUUAGGGAACUGAUUUGAACAAGUGCUUUAUGGAUAACAAAUGGAAAGGAAUAAGAAGGGGCUUUUAUCAAGUCCCCUGGAUAUGCUGGAGUGAUGACUUCACUACUCUGUGAGUGGUAGAGGAGGAGUAAGGAAAGGGAGCACCCCCCAGACCACAGGAGCUCUCCUUGAGCCCAGGAAGAGUCAGUGGAUCUGUUGUCUUCCUCGGUGCACUGUAAGACUUGACCAGGUGGCUACAAGUAAAACAUUGUAGGGCACAGUUGACUAUUUACUGCUGGCCCUUUAUACAAGGCCAAUCUAUCCAGAGGCUAUUCCAUGGUUCUCAUAAAGGAAUAUACAACUAUGAACACUUGAAAGAGAACCCUCUGGGAUCUCUAUUCCUAACUAAGUGAUGUGACUUACUACUGGCUGCUGGAUCUUUUGGCCUUCAUGAUAUGUGGACACCACUUCUGAUUUCUUGGGCCUUAAUACUCCUGCCCAACUUUUGAUCUUGUCCACUUUUGUACUGGCAUCCUUUGUAGUUUUAGGUAAGCUCACCCUACUCCAGACUCAGAAUUUUGCCAUUCCUGAAGAAGGAGAGUUAUACAGAUAUGAUGUAGAUUAGUCCCCCUAGCUUAACCGUAAGGCUUUAGGCAAGUUCUAGAGACACGCUGGGUAACACAAUGGCCAUCAUUAAUGCUGAGUAUCAUACUUUCCAUCAUUUGGCUUCUAGAGGUGAUGGAAUAGGGACCCAGGGUUUUCCAGAAACCAAGAGUAAUUCUAAAAGGCAAGACCUUAAGGGACAUCCUCUUCUUUGGCCGUCAAAGCAACCGGAGCUGUCACUGGGAUUAGCAGACAGAGGAUCAUGAUGGGGUUCUCUUUAGCUAUGAAACGAGGAAGAAGAAAAUCUUCUCUUAACAAUAAUAUACACGUGCCAUGAGAGAGAUGAAGCAGAAGAUUAAGCAAGAAACCCAGCUAUUUUAUUGCCCUAAGGCAUUACUCAUUUUCCUGACACAUUAUGUUUUUAAUUAAAAUUGCAUGUGAGUUAAUUAAAAUAUUCACUCAGGCCCUUUUUUCCCUCUUCCUGCUUGGGUUCCUUGCUACUCUUUUAGCUUUUUGGUAAAACUCAGUUUCAUUUUAACUCAGGUGCCUUUAUCAGCUGCAACUUUAAUAAAGAGUCUGUAUACUGAGGUAACUAAAAAAAUAAAAUCUAAUUUUAAAAAUUCACCCCUAAGUGACCAAGGUAAAGGGAUGUGGCCAGGAGUGAAAUCAUUAAGUCUUUUAUGUUCUUCCCUGCUUAUUUAAUCAAAAACAUGAAAUUAUCAUUGAUAGAAAGUGUAUUCAGAAGAAGUACUGUGAUUUUUUCCUAUGCCAGGCGUGUUUUUCUUGUUAUAGACACGUUUAUCCAUCUACAGUCCUUUGUUCAGGAAAGGAUCAUAGCUUAUGGCACCUACGGUUGUGUAACCUCAGCUUUCCCUGAUUACAGCUGAUUAUUAGCCUUUAGUGGACAUCUAUCCAGUUCAACCUAUCAAUGGAUCAGUAACCCUGAGAAACAAAAUCCCUCUUGUGUAGACACUCAGAGACCUUGGUUACUGAUGAGUCCAUAUUGGAUCUGUGAGGACAAAUAGGCCAGUACUGGAGGCCAUAUUGGGUCGCUUGUAAACAAAGGAAGAAUAGACAGGAAGAAGCAGAGAUAGUUGCAGCCACGUGGCUAUGAGACAGACAAGAGAGAACCUUCAGUUUCAGUGUCUUCCCCAUCUACUUCCCUUGAGGCCUGGCUGAGUCCUUACUGUAUCCCUGAGAUGGCUUUUUUUUUUUUUUGCAAAAACCCCUUUUUAAGAGUUAGCUAAAAUGAAUUCUGGAUCCUUGUAAACAAUGAGCUCUAACUAAAACAUCUGUGCUUCAAAACUCCAUAUAUUCCUAAGCAGCCCUGACAGAGAUAAUAUUAAAAAGCAAAACCAUAAAAUGGGUAGUAAGAAACCAGUUAUUGCAGUUCAAGAAUAUAUAGGCUGAAGCCGCCUGGUCGAAGUGAAGUCCAGGAGAGAGAAGAGUGUUUUUUCCAACUGUAGUAGAACCCCCUUCGUGAAAAGUUUGGGAAAAAUCUGUUUCUGUUCUUUUUUCAUUUUUUUUCCAUCUCCAAUGAUGUUUUAGUACCUUAAAAUGUUAAUGAGUCUGAGAAACUGGUACCCUGGGCAGCUACUUGCGACCCACUUGUUAAUUUAUCUCUGCUACCUAGAUAAGGAUCUCAAUGUCUUUCUCCCUAGAUUGGAUUUCUAAAGUACCAGAAUUAGCCCAGAUGGGUGUGGUGCUCGCCUAAGUCUGACGUUGCAAUCCAUUAAUCUUCUGAACUCUUAAACCUCCUUCACAGCUUAAAUUUCAUGGUCUAUCAUUAUAAUUCCAUCUCAACUCUUUAUGGCAAAACCAUGUUUGAGGGUUAAAUCCGUAUCUCCACCAACUUCUUGCCUACAUUUGGACAGUAUGUAAAUGGAGGAAAAUUUACUGCUAUUCUAACUGACCUCCAGAAAGCAAAAUUAUCAGCUGAGAGUGAGUAUGGUAAAGAUAGAAAUACAUAUUGGAGAUUUGGGGCAUGACACUCACCUAUCAUAUUUACUUUCGUACCUACAUUGUACCUUUCAUAUGCCUGCAUAAGUUGUUUAUAUGGAUGAACUGGCAAUGCUCCUACCUAUGGUCAACCUCUCCACAUGUGCAGUAAGUAGAUCUCAUUCUCUCUACAUGAGGAUAUUGCUUCAAAUCUCCCUUCUCUCUUACAUUAUCAAUUUGCCCUUUCUUCUGGGGCUACCUCAUCAGCAUAACAUCUUACUGUUAUUUCUCCCAUCUUCAAAUUCUUUCUUGAUUGUUCUUUUCCCUUCAGCUGUCAUCCCUUCAUUCUCUUUCCCUUAAUUGAUGAACUCCUUGAUGAAAUUUACUGAACUAGUGCUUCCUGUUCCUCUGCCCUCAUUCCCUCUUGAAUCAACUCCAUUCGGACUUUGGCCCCUACCCAUUCCAUCAAAACUCUUGUUAUCAAGCCUCGAUUGGCCGUUGCAUUUCUAAACACAAUGCUCAGUUUGUAGUCCUUAGCAGAGUUGAGCACCUCUUCCUCUUUCAUCAUCUGGCUUCCAGGACGUCAUACUCUCUUGGUUUUACCAUUUCACUAGAUCCUCCUUCUCAGUCUCCUUUGCUGAAUAUUAUUCUCCUCUUAAUGUUAUUGUUCUUCAGGACUUAGUUCUUCUUAUCUCUAUCUACAGUAGACUCACCCCUGGUGAUAUCACUGAAUCUCAUGGUUUUAAGUAUAAUUUCUAUACAAAUGACUUUCAGAUUUAUAUCUCUUGUUCAGACAUUUCUCCUGAAAUUCAGACCUCUACUUUCACUUGCCUACUUGACAUCUUCAUUUGAAUAUCUGUUAAGAAUCUAAUACUUCAGUCUAAAACUCAACUCCUGAUAUUCUACCAACUAAUUGCUUUUAUCCAUAGCCUUCUCUGUCUCACUGGAGGGCAGCUCUAUUCUUCCAGUUUCUCAGUCCAAAACAUUUGAGUUCUCUAAGAUUCCUCUUUAUCUUUCUUUCCUGCUUAUAAUAAUUAUUUUAUAAGAUGCUAUGUCCUUUACCUUGAAAAUAUUUGUCCAGAAUCUGACCACUUCUUGCUAUCUCCACUGCCACCACCACCAUGUCUAUCGAUCAUGAUUAUUGCACUAGCCUUAUAACUGGUUUCCCUGAUUCUCUGUUUGUGCCUCUACUGUCCAUUUACAACAGAGCAGCAAGAGUGCUUCUUUUAAAAUGUAAGUGAAAUUGUAUCAUUCAUCUGCUAAAAAUCCUGCGAUGGCUCCCUAUUUUACUCAGAGGAGAAGCCAAAGUCCUCACAAUGGGUAACAGGGCCUUGCAUAUCUCACUCACUUCUAGACACAAUGACCACUUUUCUGAUCCUUCAAAACUCCAAGAACACUCUUCAGUUCCUUCAGCUUUCCUCUUAGAUAUGCACAUGCUAAUCUCCUAACCUCAUUUAAGUCAUUGUUCAGAAGUCACAUUUUUAGUGAGUCUACCCUGACCGCCUAUUUAAAAUUGCAGUCUCCCAUAUCCUGAUGCCUCCUAAUCUGCUCUUUUGUUUUCUAUAGAGCUUAUCAUCUUCUAACAUACUAUAUGAUUUACCUUUUUAAUAUUUGUUUAUUCUGUUAUUAUUCUACUGAUCAUCUCUUACAUAUGAAAAUGUAAUCUCCCUCUAAAAUUAGGGGUUUGUAUGUUUUUUUGCAUUAAUAUUUUUGAUCAUCUAGAACAGUAUGCCUGGCAUAUAGUAGGUACACUUUCAACAAAGCUUGAAAACCAGCCUUAAAAGUAUCAACCUAAUUUGUAAGUAAACUCAUGCCCUGGCAGACAAAUCUUCAUACUCUUUAAAGGAACACAACAGAAUCCAGACACAAAAUCCAGACAACAAAAUGCAAACACUGGAUAUCAUAGCAUUUAUAAUACCUAACAUCUAAUUUUUUAAAACUACUGUACUUACAAAGAAGUAGGAAAAUAUGACCCACAACCAUGAAAAAAGUCAGCUAGUUCAAGGCAAAUGUGUAAAAGAGAAAAAUGGCUUUGGUGCUUUCUUCCUGUACAUUCAGUGAAAUCUCACAUCUCAAAGCUUUCUAAGCUUGCAACAUAGCCCCCAGCUCACAGUGCUCAGAGCUUCACACAGCAGUGCUCUCUCUUCUUUCUCUUCCUCUAUAUGCAACUUAACUCAUUUGAUCUGUCUUUAUAGUAUUCUUUUUUACUUAGUUUCUCUCUCCUGUAUAUAUCAAGUUUCAACUGGCUAAUCUUUUAAUCUAAUAUAUUAUAACGAGGAAAGGCUAAAGCUACAAAAACUUCCCCAUGUCUAUACUACGUGGGGCCUCUCUUUACCACACCAUGGUAUUGUCAUCUUACUCUAAAUUGUAGAAACUUCACUUGAAUAGAGGAAGAGUAAUUGAUUAGAAAAGUUCACUUUGAAGGGAAUCUCAUGGAACCACCGAUGGAUAGGGUGGAUGCCUACUUUGAAUUUCAUUUCUGGGGGCCAAACCAAUCAUUAUUGUUGUUACUGGGGCACGAGAUCAGGGAUGGACAGGCUGUGAUGGUGAUGGGAAGCAAAAUCACCAAGUAUUGGCCAGAUUUUCUUAAUUUUCUCCUGCCUUAGAUUGGGAUUGCGGUGCUUGAGACUGAUGUGGGGUGCACCCAGCAAGAAGAUACCAAGUAACCCCAGAUGGAGGAUGAAAGAGAAGAGAAAUGUCACUCCUAGCAUGAUUGAUCAAAAUGUGUUUUAUUAUUGGUAUUGGCGGUGAAUCAAACAUGCGACUUCACACACACAACGUAUUCUUUGGAGUACUGCUUCAGGUUCUUGCCCUAUAAACAAAGAACGUCUGUUAAAUUCUACAUCAAACAAUUUCCAUCAACAAGUAAAAGGAUGGGGGCUGCCCUGUGGCCGAGUGGUUAAGUUUGCCGUGCUACACUCUGGCAGUCCUGGGCUCACUGCUUUGGAUCCUGGGCACACACCUAGCACCACUCAUCAAGCCAUGGUGAGGCGGCGUCCCACAUAGAAGAACUAGAAGGACGCACAGCUAGGAUACACACCCAUGUACUAGGGGGCUUUGGGGAGGAAAAAAAGGAAGAUUGGCAACAGAUGCCAGCUCAGGGCCAAUCUUAAAAACAAAAUGUCAAUGAAUGUCUGGCAUGUUUAUAAUUGUAUUCACUGAAUUUUGAACAUAUUCCUAAAAGGAGAAAACAAUUUUUUUGACUAAGGAAUAGUGAGAACCAAAUAUUCCACUUAGAAUUUUGCAUGUCUGAUAAUUGGAAGUGUCUUCCACAGAUUAGCUCCGUGCUCCAUGUAUUUCAAGUCUUAUCCAUCUGCCAUGACUCACAUUUGUCUUAUCCAGGACACACUUAUAUCAAGAUGGGCUGCACAUUUAUAUCACAUCACAACAACACAUGAUUUGGCAUAGUGGGCUGUAGGAAUGUUCUGGAAAUUUCUUCCUAUACUGGGACAGGUAGGAAUAAUUUAAACUUAACAUAAAUGACCAAAAAAAAAAAAAAACCAUAAAUAUAUCCCACUAAACCCAACUUAAAUAUAUCCCUAACUCAACUUUUCCUUAGCUCUAUUCCCAAAGUUUCUGUUGACCUCCAGGCCACAAAGUGGAAGGGAAGUACUGAGGGGAAUUUGCAGUGAAAGAGCAGUGGUCUUCACAGAUCAUGAUUAAUGCAGUUUGCUUUGGCAAAGUUUACAAAAACAUAUCACACGACCUUGGGGACAAAUUGCUGGGGUAACCCUCCGAGCCUAGAAAGAGCUCGUGGAAGAGAGAGACCCUGAUGCAAAUGCCAUCGCAGGUUAUGACUAGAUCUGCCUCUGGCAUGUUUCAUUUGCUCUGCUGUAGACUGCCACCGUAUAGAAGAAACAAACUCCUGUGCCCGUUUCUUAGCUGAUACGAUACCCAGCAGGAUGUCCCCUCCCUUCCAACAGUGUUAAAUGCUUUCUCCAGAGAGUUCCUUUAAAGAGUCUGAAAUUCCCAGACAAAGAAGAACCACUGGGUCAUGAGAGCAAGAGUAGCUUCACUCCCCUGCUACAACGUCCACAUGAGCUCUCAAGAUCCAUUUGUACAUAAUCUGCUUAGGGUUAAAAUCCUGGCUCAGGCAUUUACUACCUGUACAAUGUUGACCAAGCUACUUUAACGUACCUGAGCCUUACCUCCUCAUCUGUAAAAUACGCACUGUUAUAUCUACACCAUAGCAAUGAUUGCUAUGAGGAGUACAGGAAAUAAAUGAUGUUAAGUACCAAGCGUAAUGCCUGGUUCAUAGUGGGUGCUCAGUAAGUGGCAGCUAUGGUUGUCCUAAUCCUCAUGGUUACUUUUUAUUUGUCAUAGACUCCCAAUUGAUUUAUUCAGAAACGUAGACUGUGAGCUCCGAAAGUGGAACCUAUCAGUUGAUUCAUCUUUGUAUCCGCUAUGCAUAGCACAGUGUCCGUUACAUACAGUAGGGGCUUAGUGAAUAUUAUGGAACUGAAUUGGCAGAAUUUGGACAAAACUCUUAUACACCCAGCUACAAACUUUGGAAAAGAGCUUUGCCUCGCUUUUCUAUCACCAAUUGCUGCACAGAAAACCUUCCCUCUCAGUGGGUCACUCCUGAGAGUGGAUUACUAUGUAAUGGGUGUCACCUAUUCCUCAUUACUAAUCCCAUCUCUGUCAUUUACUAGUCUGAUGCUUUGGACAAAUGACUUUGCCUCAGUCUUUUUAUCUGUAAAGUGAAGAUAGUAGUUUCUCCCUCCUGGGGCAGUUGUAAAGAUAAAAUGAGUUAAUACACACAAAGCUCUUAGAAAAGUGCUUGAUAGAGAAAAUGUGCCACAAAUGUAACUAUUAUUAGUUAUCACCAAAAUAUCCCAGGCUUUGUGCUAGAAUUUGGGUUUUCGGAGCUCAGUAAAAUGCUACCAAGCGCCAUUCUCGGGUGGGCCUUUUCGGCAAUAGUCUUUCUCAUUGUGUUUUUCACACUUCUCACUGUUCAGCCUCUGUUUACUAUUUUUCUCCUCCAGCCUCCACAUAGGACACAGGAAGCUUCUGUCUGGUUAUUAUGCUUUAGUGACAGCACAUGAGGCUAUAUACUUGCUUUUAAAAUUCUUCGCUCUCGACACCUGAACAAACUUUAGAUUUGGUAGAAUAAGCUGGUUAGGAAUCCAUCCAAGGAAUUUAAUGAGAGGACUUAACAAGAGCUAACAGAGCACUUCAAACUAAUGCUCACCAUAUGUAAAUGUGUGCCUUUCCUCUCGUGAGUGAAAAUAGAAACAUGAUUAGGAGAAAAACUUGAGUAUCUGUGCAGAAGAUGUCUGCAAUAUGGGUUUAAUUUUAAUAAGCAUUUUAAUAUUUCCUUACCAUUUUAAUGAUUUUAAUACAGAGUAGGGCAUCGCAUUAGUUUACAAAGUGAAUAUUUUCAUAUUCUGCCACACUGCUUUGCAUUUUCAAGCAGAAUCAACUUUUCUUGUUUCUUGGACUUCUUUCCCCUUGACUUGAGCUGGUCAUUGAUCUACGUAAUCUCUAAACCUCCUUCCAUUUAAUCCAUUUGUUAUUUUAGGACAUCUAAAGCAUUUCGGCUACUGACUAUUUUGGCAUCAGGGCCAUCUAAGUCAUGCAUAGGUUUGUUAUUCCAGUAUAGUCAUUCCCCAAAUUCAUUUAUUGACUUAUCAUGGAUAUUUCUCUUGUAUUUCUAAGCUCUGGCAUCAUUUAUUAGGAAGAUAAAUGAGAGUAAUUAAGCUUCAAGGCCAUAAGUGUUGAAACUCUUUGGAAUUAGAAAGCUAUUAAAAUGACGGAGUGCUUGGCUCUGCCUAGGUAAGUCCUGAUCUUUCACCUAUGGCUCUACUACUUGGAGUAACCUUUGCUGGCUCUCCUAACAGCACUCGAUGUUUUCAUGAGGCCAAAUAUAACCCCACAGGCAGUGCCUUGGAUGGAUGGCCAGUUUGUUUUCAAAGGCCAUUUUGACUAGAUUACAUAGCACUAGACUAGACAGUUGACAGGCAUUACUUUUCCGUUAAUAUUUGUUAAUCUAUUCAACUGAAUAACCGGACUAGCUGCUGAUCAACCAUCUCUUCAAGAAUAGCAGUGAUGCCUUUUUACAAAGGUUUGUGUGAAUUUUUAUUUUUUUCUUGAAAAUAAGUCAAGCUUAGGAUUUAAUCACUUAAAAUAGAUAAAAUGUAAUUAAUAAGAUCAUGUUUAACUCCUUACAAGUGUUAUAAAUCCCCUAACCUAGCCUCUUUACUUUCUUAAUAGAGAAAAGCUCUUGAUCAGAAUCAAGAGAUGUAAACAGAUGUGAAAGAAAUGCAUUUGACUUGUAUCUUCCUUUCUAAAUGCCCUCCUAAAGUCCUGUGUAGUUUGGCAAUUCUGGAUGUGAAAAUACCGUAGAGGUACUGUGAGUUUGUAAAUUAUCAUCAUUUGCUAUUUUUAAUUAUCUGAGCUCCCACAAUUCAUCAGGAGACCUUGCUAAGCACGGUGUUUUACAAAAUUUCCCUGGCCAGUGCUCUUACAUUCUAAAUUGCAGUCAUUAUUUCACGUUUCAGGUCUUUCUCAUUAUAAAACCUUUAUUUUGGUGUGCACAAAACACUUUUCUUCCAAUGAAGUGACAAACACUUUUACAAUGCUACUGUUUUUUUCCAAACGUGAAUGGUUUGAAAAUAUGAAGAAAAUGUGAAAUGAGACAUUAUAACAUCUUUUCAUGAUGGCUUAAAAAGAUGUAUAACUUCAACAAAGUAGAGGCCACGCUAGAGAAGCAUCAUUAUUGCUUAGUUAGAACAUCCCAAUUAUAACCUCAAUGGUUUUAUUAUUUUAUCAAAAGGUAAUUUUAAUAUUAUUUGUAGUCAGAAAUAUGCCCUUAGAGGUUUUUUUUAACUUUC